GAUGAAGAACGCAUCGAAAUGCGAUAAGUAAUGUGAAUUGCAGAAUUCAGUGAAUCAUCGAAUCUUUGAACGCACAUUGCGCCCGCCAGUAUUCUGGCGGGCAUGCCUGUUCGAGCGUCAUUUCAACCAUCAAGCCCCCGGCUUGUGUUGGGGACCUGCGGCUGCCGCAGGCCCUGAAAACCAGUGGCGGGCUCGCUGUCACACCGAGCGUAGUAGAUUUUCAUCUCGCUCAGGGCGUGCUGCGGGUUCCGGCCGUAAAAAGCCUUAUUUACCCAAGGUUGACCUCGGAUCAGGUAGGAAGACCCGCUGAACUUAAGCAUAUCAAUAAGCGGAGGA
rnacentral:misc_RNA from 1 species